rnacentral:Y_RNA from 1 species
GGCUGGUCUGAAGGUAAUGAGUUAUUUCAAUUGAUUGUUCACAGUCAGUUACAGAUCAAACUCCUUGUUCUACUCUUUCCCUGCUUCUCACUACUGCACAUGGCUAGCAAAA